GAUGAACGCUGGCGGCGUGCUUAACACAUGCAAGUCGAACGAUGAACCUCACUUGUGGGGGGAUUAGUGGCGAACGGGUGCGUAACACGUGAGUAACCUGCCCUUGACUCUGGGAUAAGCCUGGGAAACCGGGUCUAAUACUGGAUACGACCUUCUGGCGCAUGCCAUGUUGGUGGAACGCUUUUGUGGUUUUGGAUGGACUCGCGGCCUAUCAGCUUGUUGGUGGGGUAAUGGCCUACCAAGGCGACGACGGGUAGCCGGCCUGAGAGGGUGACCGGCCACACUGGGACUGAGACACGGCCCAGACUCCUACGGGAGGCAGCAGUGGGGAAUAUUGCACAAUGGGCGCAAGCCUGAUGCAGCGACGCCGCGUGAGGGAUGAAGGCCUGCGGGUUGUAAACCUCUUUCAGUAGGGAAGAAGCCGGCUUUUGGGUUGGUGACGGUACCUGCAGAAGAAGCGCCGGCUAACUACGUG
rnacentral:rRNA from 1 species